GACCAACCGUGAAUCUGUUAUAAUACUUCGGAUGGCUCGGUGUUCAACUCCUUGACCUCCCUUGUGUUGGUAGGGGCUGCCACAUUGUGCGCUCCCCUCCCAACCAAACCCAAACCCCGGCACUGAAUGUGCCAAGGAAUUAAAAUCUGUUCAGUGUGCCUCUGUGGGUACCGGAGACGGUGCUGUCGCAGGAGGUGUGAUGCAUGAUAUUAUAUAAACGACUCUCGGCAACGGAUAUCUAGGCUCUUGCAUCGAUGAAGAACGUAGCGAAAUGCGAUACUUGGUGUGAAUUGCAGAAUCCCGUGAACCAUCGAGUUUUUGAACGCAAGUUGCGCCCGAAGCCAUUAGGUUAAGGGCACGUCUGCCUGGGCGUCACAUAUUGUUGCCCAAUGCCUAUUGAUGGCACUGUGCAGGGCGAAUGUUGGCUUCCCGUGAGCACUUUUGUCUCAUGGUUGGCUGAAAACCAGGUCCUUGGUAGAGUGUGUGCCAUGAUAGAAGGUGGUUGUGUGACCCACGAGACCGAUCAUGUGUAGCUCUACCAGAUUUGGACUCUAUGACCCAUUAGUGUCCUUGAUGCUCAUGA
rnacentral:rRNA from 1 species